UACGGAGGGGGCUAGCGUUGUUCGGAAUUACUGGGCGUAAAGCGCACGUAGGCGGAUCUUUAAGUCAGGGGUGAAAUCCCGAGGCUCAACCUCGGAACUGCCUUUGAUACUGGGGAUCUCGAGUCCGGGAGAGGUGAGUGGAACUGCGAGUGUAGAGGUGAAAUUCAUAGAUAUUCGCAAGAACACCAGUGGCGAAGGCGGCUCACUGGCCCGGAACUGACGCUGAGGUGCGAAAGCGUGGGGAGCAAACAGG
rnacentral:rRNA from 1 species